rnacentral:rRNA from 1 species
UAAUUCCAGCUCCAAAUAGCGUAUAAUUAAAGUUGUUGCAGUUAAAAAGCUCGUAGUUGAAUUUCGGGAUCAAUACGUCGGUCGUGCCUCUGGUAUGUACUGGUGUUAUUGAUUCCUCCUUUCUGAUGAACCAUGAUGUCAUUAAUUUGGUGUUGUGGGGAGUCAGGACUGUUACUUUGAAAAAAUUAGAGUGUUUAAAGCAGGCCUACGCUUGAAUACAUUAGCAUGGAAUAAUGAAAUAGGACGUUCGAACCUAUUUUGUUGGUUUCUAGGAUCAACGUAAUGAUUAAUAGGGAUAGUUGGGGGCAUUAGUAUUCAAUUGUCAGAGGUGAAAUUCUUGGAUUUAUUGAAGACUAACUACUGCGAAAGCAUUUGCCAAGGAUGUUUUCAUUAAUCAAGAACGAAAGYUAGGGGAUCGAAGACGAUCAGAUACCGUCGUAGUCUUAACCAUAAACUAUGCCGACUAGGGAUCGGAUGAUGUUAAUUUUUUAAUUGA